rnacentral:rRNA from 1 species
UACGUAGGGUGCGAGCGUUAAUCGGAAUUACUGGGCGUAAAGCGUGCGCAGGCGGUUUUGUAAGCCAGAUGUGAAAUCCCCGGGCUUAACCUGGGAAUGGCAUUUGGGACUGCAAGGCUGGAGUGUGGCAGAGGAGACUGGAAUUCCUGGUGUAGCAGUGAAAUGCGUAGAUAUCAGGAGGAACACCGGUGGCGAAGGCGGAUCUCUGGGCCGAUACUGACGCUCAGGUGCGAAAGCCAGGGGAGCGAACGGG